rnacentral:misc_RNA from 1 species
GUGAAUCAUCGAAUCUUUGAACGCAAAUUGCACUCUCCUCGGAGAGUAUGCCUGUUUGAGGGUCAGCCUAUAAAAAAUUAACAUCGUUGCUGUUUCGCGGUGGCGUCCGUUGGAAAUUGGGUCAUCUUAAAUCCUUUUGAUUUAAGCGAUCUAAUAUUUUCUAUUUGUUUCCAUGAACGUUU